rnacentral:rRNA from 1 species
ACAGCAGUAGCCGCGGUAAAACAGAGGGUGCGAGCGUUAAUCGGAUUUACUGGGCGUAAAGCGUGCGUAGGCGGCUUUUUAAGUCGGAUGUGAAAUCCCUGAGCUUAACUUAGGAAUUGCAUUCGAUACUGGGAAGCUAGAGUAUGGGAGAGGAUGGUAGAAUUCCAGGUGUAGCGGUGAAAUGCGUAGAGAUCUGGAGGAAUACCGAUGGCGAAGGCAGCCAUCUGGCCUAAUACUGACGCUGAGGUACGAAAGCAUGGGGAGCAAACAGGAUUAGAUACCCCCGUAGUCCCUGUCUCUUAUAA